rnacentral:siRNA from 1 species
UUAAGAGAAUCAAGAAGAUUG